GGAAGCCGGGAGGAAGCAGAAACAGGACACCUGACCCAAACUGACCAAAGAGGUCUUCCUCAUCCAGAACCAUAAAGACUACAAAGAAAGUAAGAACAUUUCCCUGGCAAACCUGCUGGUGAUGCACAGGGUAGAACUGACAUUUACUUUGGUUUUGAGCAGAGAGGAGAGAUGGACUGAUUUAACAAUAACAUGAUGACUCAAAGAACUCUGCAUACCAGUCUGUUGUAAUGUAAGUAUUUC